UCCGGUUCACAAUGUAAGUCAUUCUAGCAUUUCCCACAUUCAUAUUGAAAAAUAUGAAUGUGGGAAUUUCAAUAUGAAUGUGGGAAAUGCUAGAAUGACUUACAUUGUGAAACGG
rnacentral:misc_RNA from 1 species